CAACGCCGGGAAACUCACCGGAUAAGACAGCUGAAUGAUAGUCGGGCUGAAGACUCUACUUGACUAGCUGAGAGGAGGUGCAUGGCCGUCGUCAGUUCGUACUGUGAAGCAUCCUGUUAAGUCAGGCAACGAGCGAGACCCACGCCAACAGUUGCCAGCUCGUCCUCCGGGAUGGUGGGGACACUGUUGGGACCGCCUCUGCUAAAGAGGAGGAAGGAAUGGGCAACGGUAGGUCAGCAUGCCCCGAAUUAUCUGGGCUACACGCGGGCUACAAUGGGUGGGACAAUGGGUAUCGACACCGAAAGGUGAAGGCAAUCUCCUAAACCCAUCCGUAGUUCGGAUUGUGGGCUGCAACUCGCCCACAUGAAGCUGGAAUCUGUAGUAAUCGUGUCUCAAAAUGGCACGGUGAAUAUGUCCCUGCUCCUU
rnacentral:rRNA from 1 species